rnacentral:misc_RNA from 1 species
GUUUUGUUUGAAAAUAAUUAAUUAUUGGUGAAAAUAUAUAAAAUCAAAUCAAAUCAAAUACUACAUGUAGCCGAAAACGAAAACCAAAACAGUGGUUGAAUUAGCAGCACAAUUAGGACGGAGAAUCAGAGUCAGAAAGGACAUACCCUAUGCUGUUAGGGUUCUUCUUCUUCUUCAUUGAAGCCUAAGCUUCUUUCCCUUCUCCUGAAACCGUCUGUUUCCUUUCCAUUGCAGAACUAGAGAUGGGCAAUGCCACAGAAAAUGAGGAUGAAUCUGCUAAGCCACUGCCACAUUCUCCGGCCACUGACGUGCCGCUUGAAGCACAGCAAGUUCCAGUUGAACAACUUGACCAUGCUUCUCCUACUCGCCCGGUCCCCAGGGACCAGGAUGAGCCAUGCCCCUCUGAAAAUGGUAAUCUUCUAUCUGCAGCUCCCAAGGUUAAUAUUGUGGAAUUGAAGUCCCGCCCACAACAAUUUCACUUUGAGACACCCUCCAGUGAUAAUGGCUUGCAAUUGAAGUCUAAUCUUCAAAAAUCUCAGACUGAGGCAGCCCCCACUGAUAACAUCGUGAGCGAUCCUCCACAAUCGCAGACUGAUGCAGCCAUAAAUGAUAACACUGCUGAGUUCAAGGCCAAUACUCAACAACCUAAGACUGAGACAGUUCCCAACGAUAAUAGUGCAGAGUUGAAGACCAACAUUGAACAAUCUCAGACUGAAACAGUUCUUAAUGAUGACAGUGUGGGGUUGAAGACCAGUCCUCAAAACCCUCAGGCUGAGGCAGCUCCUAAUGGUAAUGAUGUGAACUUGAGUUCCAGUCCAAAACAACGUCAGACUGAAGAAGCCCCUGCUCCUCGUGAUAAAAGUAUGGUGUUGAAAUCAGCCUUACAUGAAUCCCUGCAGGUUUCUCCUUCCCCAACUCCUUUAGAGGGCGAGAAAAGUUUACUCAAGCCUGAAACUGAACCUGCUACCGAGAAAAGACCUGAAGCCAAUGAAACUUUUGAUUAUAAAUCUAAAUAUUACGGUAUUGAUGGCACCACCAUUUCAACCAGUUGUCUUGAAACGUCUAAACCUCCUGCAAAUGCCAAAGUUGAACCUUCUGAAGUACCAGAAAAUAAAUCUGGCCAUCAUGCUGGCACCCUGCUUAAAGAGCAAAAUGAACCUGCUACACCUCAUGCAGGAUCUUCAAGCAUUAAAACUGAACUUGAAAACAAGAGAGAAUUGAAUAAUGUAAUGAAUAAAACAGAUAUUGCUACACCCAAAAGUAAUGGCAACUCAAGUUCAAAGCACUCGUUUCUUUUGGAUGAUGAUCAUGAUGGUAAUGAGUCGGGAACAGAGGAGGAGCAAUGGACAUUUAUGAAGGAGCUUGAAAAUUUCUUUAGGGAGAGGAGCAUGGAGUUCAAGCCUCCUAAGUUCUACGGAGAGGGAUUAAAUUGUCUGAAGUUGUGGAGAGCUGUUAUGAGAUUGGGUGGCUAUGAUAAGGUGACUUCAUGUAAGCUGUGGCGGCAAGUGGGAGAAUCCUUUAAACCCCCAAAGACAUGUACUACUGUUUCAUGGACAUUUCGAGGGUUUUAUGAGAAGGCACUUCUUGAUUAUGAAAGACAUAAAAUGUGUGGUGGUGAGCUUAAUGUACCCCUUAGUUCCAACUCAGAACCCAUGAACAUUGACAGUCAGGCACCUGGAUCGGGUAGAGCACGGAGAGAUGCUGCAGCACGUGCAAUGCAGGGUUGGCACUCACAACGUCUUCUUGGUAAUGGAGAAGUUAGUGAUCCUAUCAUUAAGGAUAAGAAUUCUCUGUCUUUACAAAAGCGUGAAAAACAGCUUAAAAGCUUAGGUAAGUAGUAGGGUUAUUACUUUCUUACUGAUGAUUAGAUUAUUACUUCUGCUUGUAACAAGCUUAAAACAGUUUCCAAUUUGGAACUUUAAAUGAUAACUCAGGUUUACUUAAACGCAAGAAAUCGUCUUACAUGGAACAUGCUGUUAAAGCUGCACGCACCAAAACAUCUAAACCACAGUUAAGAUUUUUGUUACCUAGUUUGUUUUGUUUGUUUUCAAAGAUUUACUUAAGUUGAAAGUGAUGUCAAGAGGAUUAUGCAAAGUGGUGUUGAUUCAAUAUGUUAAUGCUGGUGCUUUUUAUUAGAUUGGAUGUAGAGGUGGUUGACCUUGGACCUCCAGCUGAUUGGGUGAAGAUCAAUGUACAGAGAAUGGUAAGUUCCUGCAUUACCAUUUGAGUGGAAGGCAAUGGGAAAAUUUGUACAAGUUCUUGCUUGAAUUAAAAAAAUUAUUUUUACAGAAAGAUUGCUUUGAGGUAUAUGCUUUGGUACCAGGGCUUCUUCGUGAAGAGGUAAGUACCUCAAAUCAACUUUACAUUUUUCUAGUUUACGGUUAUGUUUUUAAUUAUUUCCUUUUGGAAGGCGUCCUGGUGUCAUUUAGAAGCAAAUCAUCAAACAGUUGUCACCUGAUUAGAGUUGCUUAUUAUGAGGUAGAAAUAGAGGUUGUAUAGGCCAUUUUUAGCUGCUUAGUCAAUUAGUUGUGUUCUCUAGCAGAUACCUAUUUGGUGCCACCGCAUUUGAAUUUUAGGCAAUCUAAAGGGCAUGAGCUUUCGUUAUAACUAUGUACAAACAUGUAGUCAAAUGAAUGGCCAACUCAUGCAUGAGAGUAGGCUCCUAAGACGGUUAAUGUUGUGAUUGCUUAGUUGUUACACCUUUGAAUCCAUUCCCUGCAAUAUUUGAUGAGAAUCUGCGGCAGGGAUAUGAGAAUGCAACCCAUGAGAUAGGGAGUUGGAUUGAAAAGAUUGGUUAGAGCAAGUUUUGUUUACUAAAUUAUGCACAAAACGAGGGCAGUUGCUAUAAUCUUGGUUUAAUUCAUCUUAAAACUAUUUACUUCCUGGCAAGUGUGCAUCCGUGUGCUUCAGCUAAGACAUUAUUUUUCAAACUCAGGUUCGAGUUCAAUCAGACCCAGCAGGGCGAUUGGUUAUCAGUGGUGAACCUGAGCAUCCUGAUAAUCCUUGGGGUGUCACACCGUUCAGAAAGGUGGUUAGCUUACCCUCGAGGAUUGACCCACAUCAAACUUCCGCUGUGGUCACCCUGCACGGACAACUAUUUAUUCGUGUCCCAUUUGAGCAGUCAGACUAGAUAGGAGUUUCACAAAUGUCUAUUGUCCAUUCCCUCCAAUAUUUCUAUUAAGUGGGUGUGCCUACAUUUUUAGUUUUGAACUCUGAUGUAUGUUUCUCCUAAUAGGUAAUAGAUUAUUAUAAUUUCUUAAUAUUUAGCUAGGAGGCUUUUCAAAUAGCUUGUCUUCUUUUGUUAUCUGGUUAAUAUAUCUUUUACUUUUGUUGGGAGGCUUUUACCAAAUUACUCGCAUACUAUAGACUCGUGGGUAUAGUUUUUCCAAUCUGCUUUCUAAAGUUCAUAACAAUUUGCCAUCUUCCGCUAUAUUGUUUCGGUUUCAAGCGGGCCCCAAACAGUUAAUUUAGCACUUGCAAUGAGUACAAUUUUAGCCCAUUCGGUUUGCAUGGCUAUUUCUUUGAUUAUAGCAUAUUUUAAAUAUGUACUCUCUACCUAUUUAAACCAAAAUAUUGAAGAUGCAUUUAAGUUCCAAAAUGUUACAAAUAUCAUAAGCAUGCCGUUUUGAUGGGGAUGAAAAAGAACAAAAAUUACAAGUCCUCAGGUUAUGGUUUAAUUUAACACUCUAUUGAAGUUAUGGGGAAGGAUUCACUACAAAAUUUCAGUGGACAAAAGUUGAUUUUGUCCGCUCCAUCUACCUUGAAACCCGCCUGUUUUUAACUUCAUCUCCCUCAGCUACCCUAUCACUGCCUUGCAUCUUGAUGAUUUGGCAUAUUAAGCGAAGUAGCAGGUGGCAUUUGCUUGUGAAGCAACUCCUUCCUCAUCCACGUUCUCCAAUUUGGGACUCCAAAAUCCUCUCCUGUGUUCAUAUGUUUAGGCUCUAGUUCUCCAUCCUUAUUCAUUCAAUCUCCACACCCUUUAAACAGUACUAGAAUAUCAAUCAAGUAUGCUUUUGUAAAAUGUAAUAGUGGAAGAUGAAACAACAGUGAUACAACUGCAACUAAGGCCUUAAGGUGCUAAAAAUAACAGGCUCCGAUGAAAUAAGUUCUUUUUACCAAGUUUUAUAUCUGAUCAGGCUCGGAUAAACGCCCAGCACAAACACACACAAAGGAAAACAACAAACUGGGAAAUAUAUGAUUCCCCAUAUAAGAUAGCUAGCAAAAGAAAUACUUUUAGCAACAAAUAAUUGACACACAAAAUCAUGGAGAGAGUACAUCUACAAAUUGAAAUUUUGCUAAUUUUCCUAUAAAACCUGCAAUUGUCUUUAUGUAGCAGUUGCCAUCGACGCCAAGUCCACUUCUUCAUCAGAAUCAAUCACAUCUUCAUAGUCAUAAUAGGCAUUCACCUCUGGUCUUGGAGUAAUAGCUUCAAAACUAUGGAACUCUGUAUCAUCAAAAUCAGGGGGUUUUAAAACUAUGUAUGCCCCUUUAUUUUUGUAUCUCUCCUCCGUUGCCUGAAAUUGUGGGUAGUCUGGUGCACUAAACACAGUAAUUAGCUUUCCUGACUCCACAACAUGAUCUAUGGUGUACCCUUCAUCCAUUCCUGCAAGACCAGGCCUCUUUUCUCUUGCAUCAGGACCUUCAUGGGAUCUGAUUAUUAGCUUUAGCUGGAACUUUUUCAAAAAUUCUUCAGUACAAUCUGGUCCCCACAAUAGACCAAUGCCUCUUUCUUUAUUCGGUGAAAGUCCAGGUUUCAUUGUUGGAUCAGACCAUAAAACAUCACCAGGAAUCAGGUUCAAACCUUCCCAUGGGGGGUCAAGAACUGAUCUUCGAGCCUUGGACAAUUCCUCAAAAGAACCAAGAGAUAAGGGGGUGGCCUCAGGAUUAAAAAUUAUUCUCCGGUUCUUCUUUCCUUUAGAUCUCUUUGAUGGGGUGAUGGAGACACUGCGGAAAAGUCCUCCAUGAGCAGUAUAUACACGGCCAGCUAUAAUAGAGGCCAAGGGAAGCCCUUCAAAGCAUCCCAAACACUUCCUAUAUGCAUGCUUACCUUUAUCAUCGUACUUCACCAAAACUUCCUUCUCAAAGCCAUAAACAGACGUGCAAUACUUGGAUUCGUGAUUGCCACGGAGGAGAUACACCCUAUGUGGCAAAAAGACCUUCCAAGCUAAUAAGAGCAAGAAAGUCUCGAGACCCCAUGCGCCUCGAUCAACAUAAUCACCGUUGAAGACGAAGAAGCGAUUGUCAGAAGGGAAUCCAGCAUCCUGCAAGAGGAAAAGGAGGUCAUGGAGCUGGCCAUGAACAUCUCCUACAACGACAACAGUGGAAUCAGGAAGAGAGAGACAAUCGUCAAUUGUGACGCAAUUGGACUCCUUAUGAAGGAUCUUGGAAGCGGUGAGGACGAGAGAGUCAAAGACGGAAACAGGCAAGACGGAAGGAAAAUCUGAGGGAGGGAGAUUUCUAGAAGACCAGUCCAAGGCAGAAGAGAAAUGUCGAAUCCAAUCGAAACUGAGCUCGGCAUCGGGAGGCCAAGAGAGAGGAAUAUCAACAGGCGGUGAAGAAGUGGUGAUGGUGGAGGAAGAGGAGCAACAUGCGGUGGUGGCCGCUUCAUCUAGGGAAUUGUGGGCGGUGAUUGGGUUCGGAUCUGAUGGACGAACAGGUUGGGAAGAAUCUGAUGACAUGUCAAUUAAAAAAGAAUUAAAAAAAAAAAAGAAAGUGACUUUCCAAAACCCUAACGAAUAAUGCAGUAGUGCAGCAGGAGAGUGAUGAGCUGCAGAAGUGGGAGUUUCCUCAAAUUAUUACUAUUAUUGAAAAGCUACGAGGAGGCUCAGCAUAAUAAAACAGCAAAAUUACCAUAUUUACCAUUCUCCGGGUCAUCCUCACCCUGCCUUGCCACCGAGGUAGUAGCAAGGCUUUGGUGUUGGCAUUAUCGUCUGCAUAUGGUUAACAUCUCUCAAAUUUCAUAUCAGAAUGAUAGCUACUUUCCUAUAGAAUUAAGAUAAAUCAAUAAUAUUAAUGAUUAAUUGCGAGCUUUUAAUUUAAAGAAGUUAUGAU